rnacentral:rRNA from 1 species
AGUGAACGCUGGCGGUAGGCCUAACACAUGCAAGUCGAACGGCAGCACAGUAAGAGCUUGCUCUUACGGGUGGCGAGUGGCGGACGGGUGAGGAAUACAUCGGAAUCUACUUUUUCGUGGGGGAUAACGUAGGGAAACUUACGCUAAUACCGCAUACGACCUACGGGUGAAAGCAGGGGAUCUUCGGACCUUGCGCGAUUGAAUGAGCCGAUGUCGGAUUAGCUAGUUGGCGGGGUAAAGUCCCACCAAGGCGACGAGCCGUAGCUGGUCUGAGUGGAUGAUCAGCCGCACUGGAACGGGGACACGGUCCAGACUCCUACGGGAGGCAGCAGUGGGGAAUAUUGGACAAUGGGCGCAAGUCUGAUCCAGCCAUACCGCGUGGGUGAAGAAGGCGUUCGGGUUGUAAAGCCCUUUUGUUGGGAAAGAAAAGCAGCAGGUUAAUACCCCGCUGUUCUGACGGUACCCAAAGAAUAAGCACCGGCUAACUUCGUG